AUUUCUGAGUGCCUCCCCUACAGCCACCUCCUAUGUGGCCAUGUUCCUGAAGCGCUGGCUUGAGGAGCUCCUCUCAGAGCUGACCCUGACUCGUGAAGGCUCUGGAGCUUGAGCAACAGCUGCUACCACCCCUCCAAGGCCCUCCACCCUGGCUGCCUUGCUCGGUCAGGAAGAGGCCUGAUCUGUGGCUGCUGGGGACGAACUGAGGACUGUAUUUAUGUUCCAGAAGCAGCGGGCAGCCACCCUGCCACUCCUCAGCACCCCAGCCCUGCCAAGCUCCCGGCAGCACAUCGUGCCCUGGCUGUCCACCUCUGACAGCCUCUCCUGCUGAGCCCUGGAGGCUUGAGGACCACACAAGGCAUCAGGCCUGCCCUGGAAUCCUUCUCCCCCAUCAGCACAUCAGCCACGAGCAGGAUCACCUACAUAAUUUGAGGGACCCUUUGGCACUGAUGUGGAAAAAUGUCACAACAGGUUCUUUUGUGGGAAAGAAUAUGAGACCAGAAUGAGGAAGUCCCAAUGCAUUGUGGAGUGAUGUGGCUCCCUGGAAACAAAAG
rnacentral:lncRNA from 1 species